UGGGGAAUAUUGGACAAUGGGCGAAAGCCUGAUCCAGCCAUGCCGCGUGAGUGACGAAGGCCUUAGGGUUGUAAAACUCUUUCGUCGGGGACGAUAAUGACGGUACCCGAAGAAGAAGCUCCGGCUAACUUCGUGCCAGCAGCCGCGGUAAGACGAGGGGUCCUAGCGUUGUUCGGAAUCAUUGGGCGUAAAGCGUAUGUAGGCGGCCAAGACAGUCAGGUGUGAAAGCCCUGGGCUUAACCUAGGAAGUGCACUUGAUACUACUUGGCUAGAAUAUCAGAGAGGGUAGUGGAAUUCCUGGUGUAGUGGUGAAAUACGUAGAUAUCAGGAGGAACACCGGCGGCGAAGGCGGCUGCCUGGCUGAAUAUUGACGCUGAGAUACGAAAGCGUGGGGAGCAAACAGGAUUAGAUACCCUUGUAGUCCCUGAGCGGGCUGGCAAGGCGCAU
rnacentral:rRNA from 1 species